GACGAACGCUGCCUUUGUGCUUAACACAUGCAAGUCGAACGGAAAGGCCCUGCUUUUGUGGGGUGCUCGAGUGGCGAACGGGUGAGUAACUCGUGAGUAACCUGCCCUUGACUUUGGGAUAACUUCAGGAAACUGGGGCUAAUACCGGAUAGGAGCUCCUGCUGCAUGGUGGGGGUUGGAAAGUUUCGGCGGUUGGGGAUGGACUCGCGGCUUAUCAGCUUGUUGGUGGGGUAGUGGCUUACCAAGGCUUUGACGGGUAGCCGGCCUGAGAGGGUGACCGGCCACAUUGGGACUGAGAUACGGCCCAGACUCCUACGGGAGGCAGCAGUGGGGAAUAUUGCACAAUGGGCGGAAGCCUGAUGCAGCAACGCCGCGUGCGGGAUGACGGCCUUCGGGUUGUAAACCGCUUUCGCCUGUGACGAAGCGUGAGUGACGGUAAUGGGUAAAGAAGCACCGGCUAACUACGUGCCAGCAGCCGCGGUGAUACGUAGGGUGCGAGCGUUGUCCGGAUUUAUUGGGCGUAAAGGGCUCGUAGGUGGUUGAUCGCGUCGGAAGUGUAAUCUUGGGGCUUAACCCUGAGCGUGCUUUCGAUACGGGUUGACUUGAGGAAGGUAGGGGAGAAUGGAAUUCCUGGUGGAGCGGUGGAAUGCGCAGAUAUCAGGAGGAACACCAGUGGCGAAGGCGGUUCUCUGGGCCUUUCCUGACGCUGAGGAGCGAAAGCGUGGGGAGCGAACAGGCUUAGAUACCCUGGUAGUCCACGCUGUAAACGGUGGGUACUAGGUGUGGGGUCCAUUCCACGGGUUCCGUGCCGUAGCUAACGCUUUAAGUACCCCGCCUGGGGAGUACGGCCGCAAGGCUAAAACUCAAAGGAAUUGACGGGGCCCCGCACAAGCGGCGGAGCAUGCGGAUUAAUUCGAUGCAACGCGUAGAACCUUACCUGGGUUUGACAUGGAUCGGGAGUGCUCAGAGAUGGGUGUGCCUCUUUUGGGGUCGGUUCACAGGUGGUGCAUGGCUGUCGUCAGCUCGUGUCGUGAGAUGUUGGGUUAAGUCCCGCAACGAGCGCAACCCUUGUUCACUGUUGCCAGCACGUUAUGGUGGGGACUCAGUGGAGACCGCCGGGGUCAACUCGGAGGAAGGUGGGGAUGACGUCAAGUCAUCAUGCCCCUUAUGUCCAGGGCUUCACGCAUGCUACAAUGGCUGGUACAGAGAGUGGCGAGCCUGUGAGGGUGAGCGAAUCUCGGAAAGCCGGUCUCAGUUCGGAUUGGGGUCUGCAACUCGACCUCAUGAAGUCGGAGUCGCUAGUAAUCGCAGAUCAGCAACGCUGCGGUGAAUACGUUCCCGGG
rnacentral:rRNA from 1 species